UACAGAGGGUGCAAGCGUUGUUCGGAAUUAUUGGGCGUAAAGCGCGUGUAGGCGGCUUGGUAAGUCGGGUGUGAAAUCCCUCAGCUCAACUGAGGAAGUGCGCCCGAAACUGCUGAGCUUGAGUACCGGAGAGGAUGGCGGAAUUCCCCAAGUAGAGGUGAAAUUCGUAGAUAUGGGGAGGAACACCGGUGGCGAAGGCGGCCAUCUGGACGGAUACUGACGCUGAGACGCGAAAGCGUGGGUAGCAAACAGG
rnacentral:misc_RNA from 1 species